rnacentral:lncRNA from 1 species
UACAUAUCUGAUAUAAAGGUAGUAUUUCAGGUAACAUUUGCAAUACGCUUCCAUCAAAAUUUUUGUUUAUAUGAAAUUCAAAUUUAACUGAGCACCCUGUAUUUCAUUUUCCAACCCUAUCUAACUCCCAGAUUUGGUAUGUAGUAUCUAGAAGUCCAUGGUGUUCGGCUAUGAUUAGAAUGCAGAGUACUUUCUCUGUUCUUUCACUCUGACAAUGUGGAGUUUAAAAACUGCUCCCCCCCCUUUAAUAAAGGUGCUUAUCAAUUUGUUUUUCCCUCAUUCUUAAUUUUCACCAGAAAAACUUGCCCAGGCCAAAGAAGAGAACGUGGGCUUACAUCAGACACUGGAUCAGACACUAAACGAACUAAACUGUAUAUAACCGAAACAGAAGAGUCUUGUUCCAACAGAAGCUCCAGAGCGCCGUGUCUUUCUCUUCUCUUUUCUCUGAGGAGCUGACGUCUUAUUCCAAUAAUGAUCCGUGCUUAUCUGCUCUGAUAGGAGGCCAUCCACUUAGGAGGAGCGAAUGUUGGAGCAGUCAGUCCUAUUCAGAGAAGCAGUCUUUUUCAGAACCAUCAGUAACUGAGCAAGACUGUUUUUCUGUGAACAAAUAUUAGGCAGAAUGGCCCUCUCAGACAGCAAAGUAAAAACCAAAAAAUUGGUGUAACUUCAUCUCUAUACUCGAGAGAAUGGCAAAUUGGAGAUUUACUUAUCUAGAAUUUUAAUUCCUCUUCAGGACCAAGUUAAUGAAAGACCAAGAAACUCCUGAUUAAACUGGAUAUGGAGUAUUUUGUACACAGGGCUGCACAUAAUGUGUUGUAUUUUGUUAUAUUUCUGCUUUCUCCGUUAACAUCUCAGAGCUGAAACAUUCCACAUUCCCCAGCAGUGUGGGGGCCAACUCAAGUUUACAAUUCUGACUCAAAAAAUCACCCUGCUUCUAGCUUAUCUGAAUCCUCUGCCCCUCACUCCUAUUUAUUAAGCGCCACACAACCCAGGAGAUACACUGGCAAAUUGUGCAAUUGAAUAAAACCCACACUUUCCAUUUAGAUUCUUGCAACUGUAUCAUAUGUAAUAGUAUCACUUUUUCUACAUUUUGGUCAAAUAAAUUUUUACAUAAACUCCAAAAAAAAAAAAAGAUGACUGUGAAAUUUGCUAAUGUGAAUCCAUCCAAAAUUGAAAAAUUCUGGACUGUGGUGAAAUGUCAGUAGAAAUAGCUCCAUAACAAGAUAGCUUUCGAUUUUUUUCUUUGGUGUCUAUAUAAAUUCAAAAGAUACUGCCCUUUCAACAUACUCA